GGCCUCGUAGCUCAGCUGGUAGAAUGUGCGCAAUACAAAAGCGUAGGUGCAUCCGUGUGGGUUCAAAUCCCACCGAGCCUG
rnacentral:tRNA from 1 species